UGGGGAAUAUUGGACAAUGGGCGAAAGCCUGAUCCAGCCAUGCCGCGUGUGUGAAGAAGGUCUUCGGAUUGUAAAGCACUUUAAGUUGGGAGGAAGGGCAGUAAGCGAAUACCUUGCUGUUUUGACGUUACCGACAGAAUAAGCACCGGCUAACUCCGUGCCAGCAGCCGCGGUAAUACAGAGGGUGCAAGCGUUAAUCGGAAUUACUGGGCGUAAAGCGCGCGUAGGUGGUUCGUUAAGUUGAAUGUGAAAGCCCCGGGCUCAACCUGGGAACUGCAUCCAAAACUGGCGAGCUAGAGUAGGGCAGAGGGUGGUGGAAUUUCCUGUGUAGCGGUGAAAAGCGUAGAUAUAGGAAGGAACACCAGUGGCGAAGGCGACCACCUGGGCUCAUACUGACACUGAGGUGCGAAAGCGUGGGGAGCAAACAGG
rnacentral:rRNA from 1 species